GCUGACCAUUUUAUGAUGGUUUCUGGGAAGACUGAAGAGAACAUUGAAUUUUUAAAAUGACUCUAACCAUGGAACAGCUGAUUUGUGCAAUUAGGAGCACAAUACUGAAUGUUGCAGAGCAUGCCGUCCAGUACUGUAAACAUUUCCCUUGUGUUCCAAAGGCUGAACCACUGCAGCCAUACGAAAGGAAGGAGGAAACUGAAUAAGCAUAUUUGAAUAAUGGGUCUCCCAAGAGGCACACAUGGUAUUCACCCACUUCAGCCAAAUCGAUCAAGAAUCAUGCUGCCCUGCUCCUCAAAUAUCAAAGACAUUACCCAAAGGAGGGUAAACAGAUCCUGCUUAGGUCAAAAACAAUGAAUGUUCAAAACAGUAUACCCAAAUGUAGAUUCUGAAUUUUAUUUUUCACUAUAUACCUAGUAGUCAUCCACAGUCAUUAUAGAUUCAUAAAUUUAUAUUUUUAGCUCAGAUAUUUGCUGAAUUUUAGUAUCAUAAGUCAGUGACCAAGAGACAUUAUCAAGUAGCUCACAUAAGCCUCACAUUAUGAGAGAUUAAACUCAAACUUGAUACCUUUCCUUCCAAACUUGUGCCUUAUCCUGUACCACUCAUGUCUAUUAU
rnacentral:lncRNA from 1 species